AUCGCUUCUCGGCCUAACGGCUAAGAUCAAAGUGUAGUAUCUGUUCUUUUCAGUUUAACAUCUGAAAUAGGCACAUAGUGCCUAAGAAUGUUAACUUGAUUUUUGCAUCUCGACGAGUGGAUCAGAAGCUUGCUUCGCCCUUGUCACGGGUUGGCUUGCCAUUGCAGUACAGGCAAGAUCGGCCCAAUAAUC